GCUGUGAUGUACUGAACUUGAGAACGCCUUCUGAUCUCAGUUUGUAUGCUAAUGAAUCUGGUCUUGUGUAUGCAUUGUAAAGCAGCUCUUUGCCUUUUGUUUAUUUGGAUAUGUGGAGCCUUUCUCCUUCAGAUGUUGUUGUGUCAAUUGCAUUACCCUCAUUCCAAAGAUAAUUGCGGCGGUUGCGGGGUUUCUUUUAAUUUGCCCGUGUUGUGUGUGUGCAGAGCCCGACGCAGCUGAACUCCUAGCUGUGGGUUUUUUCGCCUGUUUGAUAACCUGACUGUAAGCAAGCCCCCUCUGGCUUUGCAGACUUCUGUCUCCCUCAGCACACUCGCUGCCGCAGCACUCAUCCACGAGCGACACACUCAUUCACACGCGCUCUCGCAUGACUACACAAAUGCAUAAACAGGACUUCAGCCUUGACUGGCUCACGCACAUAGAACACACUCGCUUACUCACUCAAGAAUUAUCGUGGUAGUAAAACUAGAGAGGAAGAGUGAGAGAGACAACGAGAGAGGAGGAGGGACUGAGACGGGGAAGCAGAGGGAGGUGGAAGGAGAACCAUUGCCCCAACAGAAGUAUUUUAUCCCCAAGCGGUUUUUAAACGCUGCCAUGGCCGUGACCCCGUCAUGAGGACAAGCCAUUGUUCUGUCCCGUAGCUGCUGCAGCAAGACCUCUGUGAGAAAUAAAAGUUGCAGUUGAUGAACAUGCAUUUGUAUAUGCAAAGUCUAUUCAACACAGUUGGUUGUGUCGUAGGUGUGUAAUGUCACUGUUUUUUACUUUGAGUGAAAAGGCCAUACAGCUCAGCAGCCUACUCGUGUUGUACUUUAAAGGAUGUGACAGAUGUGGUCUGGAGUGUGUUGUUCUGCUGCUCUCACUUUUUUCCCUCUCUGUCUAUACUUCCACGAGUCUGGCUGUGUGUAUAUGUGUGUGUGUGUGUGUGUGUGUGUUCUCUCUGGUCCGCUGCUUUGGCACAAAAAGGACGGCCAGGCCGCCCCAUUCUUUGUUUUGCUUCUUGUAGGAAACUAGCAGCAAAUUGUGGCUCAAUGAGGCGUUGCUGUUUUGUAUGGUCUGAUAAAGUGCAAACGAAACCGUCUGGGCUGGACUGGCCUGCUGCAGUGUUUUCCAUUGUAGCUGUGAAUGUAGGUCUGUGUGAUGCUUGGUUAGGGUUGAACAUUAGGUGACAGGGGGGGGGCUGCUGGGGGUAGGGUCCAUUCACACAAUUUUAAAAUGUCACCCAGUGUUUGGAGCUGCUGUCCGCUGUGUUUAAUUGUGAUGAGGGAUGAUUAGAGCUCCUCUUAAGACUUGAGGAGAGUUUUCUGUCUUGCUUCCUUUCAAAGGUUUUAAAAUCCCAAUAUUUUAGAGUUCUCAAACAGCUCCGACAUGACACAUUUGUCAAAGUGAUCAGAGCAGGGCAUAUGUGUGUGGGUGUAUUGAUGUUCAUGCGGGAAAUAGUCCAGUUUUUACUUCAAUUCAUUCAUCCAGCACCUGCAGUAACUACUUACGUUAGAAAUGAAAAGGGUGACUCACUAAACAUGCAGUCAUUUCAUGAAGAUCUUGUACUUGAAAGUCGUUUGCUGGAGGCAAACAACUUUGUGACCGUAAGAGUUUAUUUGCUCAAGGAUUGAAAUAUUAAUAUUAAUAAGCAGGGAAGUAUGGACAAAAUAUUUAAUAGUGUAUAGUUUUUAAGAAAAAUGUUGUGCAUUGGAUGAGACAAUAAAGCGUACUUCUUCGUAACUUCUAUAACUUUACACCUACUUGAUUUAGUGUGAAUUUGUGCUUUUGUUUUACAAUAAAAGUGAAGGUGUACACUUUUUUUGUAGCAGAAACCCCAAGAGGGUUGCCUCUGAGAAAAAAAACCAAGAAGAAUAUCAUGAUAUAUUGAAGGGGGCAGCAUUUGUAUAUUGCAUUUCCAGAGUUGUUUCAUGGCUUGAUUUGCCAUUUCUCAAUGCCGCUGGGAUGCACAGGGAACACAAUGCCGUGAAGAUCCACACAUCAAGUUCAUUGAGUCAAGCAAAACAAACACAUAGCUUGGGAGAUGGACAAAGAAGGGGGUUCUUGGGUGUGCCAUGGCCCUUGUCUAAAGCGGUUAUGGGGCCCACAUGGGCGUUCUGCUCUCCAGAGGCUGUUGGGGUAAUUAUCUGCCAGGGUGCACGUGUGGGAGUGUGCGUCACGUCGGCCGCGUCUCCGUGUACAUGUCUGUUAGGUGCGCGAGGGAUUGUAGCGCUGGAUGUCUCCGAGCAUCCUGUCCUGCGUCCUGAUGCUGUGGCCCUAAACAGGAUGAAAUGCAUAUCCACUCAACCCUAUAUACUUCUUCACACUUGUGUGAUCUAUAUGUGCCCCCCAAACACAUAAACACACACACACACACACACACCCUUUAUGUCCAUCUUCCUUACACCCCAGAGUUGAGAGAGAGGAUCUGGGAGUCUCAGAGGAGCGUGCUGGGGGAAGAGGCUGAGGAGCCAUCUUUGACAUGGGGCAUGGGGCCCAACGGCACAAAGCCCCAUUCCCUGCUCCUCCAUGUGGAAAAUGGCAGGAGAGCAAGAGGAGGAGGGGAAGGAGGCAAAAAAAAAAAAUUUGGAGAAAAGAGGAGGAGGGAUUGAGGGAGCGACAAUUAGUGGGAUCUGCUAAUCACUAGGGCAACACUCAUUUAAUUGACAUGUGAAAUUUGAAUUCAUCUAACUAGUCGAUAGUCAGUACGACAAUGGACCAGCCGUUUAAGGUCUGCUGGUGGAAGCCAAGGAGGGGCAGCGGCAGCUGAGGGCUGAGGCCAGGCUCUUUGUUAAAAGUAGCAGUGUUGUUGAGUGAGAAGGUUGUCCACAAGGAGAUUAUAACCAUUAUGCCUUUGACCCUUUGGGAUAAGUAACUCCAUGGCUACCCCACUAACACACAGCAGACACACAACAUAGCAAGGGCUGUUUAUGUGUGUAUGUUUUUAUUUUCAGCAGAAGGCAGAGUGAGUAAACAAGUGUUUUUUUCACAAUAAAUCUGACCCUGAUAAUUUCAAAGCCUUGGAAGAGGAAAAACACAAAGGAGGUGGGCAGGGAAAAAAAAAAACACUGCAGUCUGUCCAUUCCUGCUUCCGCCGAAAUCAAUAAGCUAUUUAAGGUCAUCAGAAAGCAGCGUCACUGACACCCAGCUGCUACCGGAGAGGCAUAUGAAAUCUCAAUGCCGCCUCAAGAAGUGACUUUAAAACAAAAAAAAAGAUGCAAACCUUUACUCACAGCUCAUUUAUUCGGGAUAUUACAAAAACUUUUAGCCUCACUAGCAGUGUGGCAGUGUGGGUUGGCACUGAUGGUCAGGCCACUAUACUUUGCUUAAGGCUGAAUGAGGAGGAUUUAUUGGUGGCGAUUUGUAAACACAACAUUCAAAGUUGGCCCCUCAUAGAAUUGUAUGUUCUUGACUGCGGUUAGGGUGCUCCUAAAAGCCAACCCCAGAUUCUCAUUUUGGAUCGAGCUUCCAAUACCAGUGUUUAAUAAAUAAGCUGUAUGCCUUAACGUGUGCGUGUUUUUUUGACGCCGUUUUCAUAGCUUUCUACACACCAAAAUGAUCAAAUACUCAUAAGUGAUGAUUGAGAGGGAUUUUAUGAGUUUAUAUAUUGUUCUUACUUGUUCAUCCAAGAAGAAAAUGUACAAAUCAUUUCCAUUUCAAUAUUUCAAAUCUAUUUCAAGUGACAGAACUACACAAGGAAAUCUAUAUUCUUAAGAGAAGGCCCUUUAAGUUCUGACCCUCCCCCCACUUCAGGAAAUACCAAUUAACAAAUCAAUUACCUCAUAACUAUGAUUUAUCAGUUUCUCAACAGAUAAAUAUGAUGAUUAGCAGACACAAAAUCACACUAAACAUAUCAAAAAGUAUAAUCAGAACUACUUGAAAACUCAAUAUAUAUUUUCUAAUGAAGCGUUUGAGAAAAUGCAUUUUGAGAAAAUGCCCCCCCCCACACUUAUACCACAUUUGGUGCAUUCCCCCAGGAACACCAUCAUAAAAGGAGUCCUAAUAGGCUAAGACUGGUUUGGCACUUCCUGGUUCUAAAGCAGCAUGUUUAUGUGCUGCCUAGAGGAGAGACACUGAUUGUCUUCCUGUGGCACGUACAGCUCUGGAUAGCAUCGAACCGGUCCUCUUGUUCCUACGUCUCAUCUAUCUCUAUCCCCGCAGCUCCUGGCUAUCUUCACCCUCUAUGGCUCCUUCAUGAUGGCCCCCUAAUCUCUGCCAGUGUGGUUCCACGGUAAGUAGGUGUCCUCUGCCAGAUUCUCCUCUAAACAUGCAUGGAACUUCACUCAUAUAUCUGCCUUCCCCUCUCUAUGGAAAAUUGCAAACCCACAUGGUAAACUGGAUACAGCGGCACUGCUGCUUGAAAAGAAAAUUCCACAUUCUCUUUCCAGCUGGAGAAUGGCAGCUACUGAGGGGUUUGGCAUCAGUGAUGCUCACAAUGCACACUGAGGGCAACCGUUACAAUGAAGAAAGAUUGAUUCUAAAGGAAAAGAUUGAACAUGUCAAGAGGAUGAAACAGUGGAGUGAAGUGAAUGUGUAGCUCAUGUCACUUUUUUCUUCUCUGAGAACAUUAGGAAGGUAAUCUGUUUUAUGUCUAAGCCCGUGUUAAUUUGACAGCUUGACAAUUAAUAAGCUUUUAAAACACCCUCAGUAGCGAGGCUCUUAUGUAAGACAAUGCAAUCAUUAUAUGUUUAAUGUGUUUACAAACCAUAACAUGGUGAGUAUGAAUGUAGCGUCCCGGCACUGUGCUCUUAUGAUUUAACCAGACUGAUCGUCUUAGAUUUUUUUUCUCAUCUUCAUCUUCAUCUGCACUGCAGUUUUCUGAUUUCAGCGGUGCCCAGCCCCCUGUGUAGUCCAGCCUGUACCCGGGCUUAUUAAACUAGGCUCCUAUUCACUCUCCCCAACGGUCGCUCCACUGUCAACUUAAGCCAUUCGAACACUCAGCUCUCCGACUAUUGUUGCAGAGUUCGCCAAAACUCAGCAUCGCUGAGCAGCCAAUAUGCAGCGGGAGAGAGGGAAAGGCCCCGCCUCUCCUCAUAUCUAAUGCAUAUGUGUCUUUUGAUGCAUUGCAAUUUACCCCUGUGGAUGGUUCUUAAAAAAGAUGUCUUUUUUUUCAUUUAUUAUCCAUGCCUUGCAUAACAGAUAUUUUGACAUAUUCUGAUGAGCCAGUUUCUGAGAUAUCAUGGAGGCUUUAAUCGUCUCCUAUGAGCCGGUAACCAAAUGACUGACGAUGAUUAUUUCAUGCGAAGAACAAACAACAAACUGCGAGCAAAAGUUUUCAGCUAUGGCCUUGGGUAUUUGUUGUGGCCUGUCGCAAUGCAAAAGGAAAAUAAAUAGUGUUUUAAAAGUCCACAUCUUUCAAAAUUCACAGACCCAAGGUUUUUUUUGAGUGUUAGAGUAGGUUGAGUGGGGUGAGCAGACCUUUGAAGAUCUUUCAACUCCUGUAAGCUCCAGGCCUAUGAGAUGCAGUGCCAUCCUUUUUAAGGGAAUGACCAUAACUUUGGUCCCCUUGCUUCUAAUCCCUCCUUCAGACCCUCGUCGUCAGAGAUCAACCAGGCUGAGCCUUAAUGUCCUCCGCUCCCUGGCAAGGGCAGCUGGUGGCUUUCAUGUAUGUGAAGAGCCGGAUGAAUAUGCUUCAAUCUGCACGUUGAAUCAGGAAUUGAUGCCUUUAUCUUCUCUAUCUGCUUGUUCUACAGCAUAUGAUCUAUGAGAAAUGAUCAGUUACAUUUUCAGAGCCUCUGCUUAAUGAUUCACAUUUUACUGAAUGCAUUUGAAGAGUUUGUUUGAAAAUGUUAUAAAGGCUUUGAUCACGAAGCCUAAAGAGCACAAUGCCUUAGAUUUUACAAAAAAACAGUGCAAAGAGAGCCUAAGUGCCUGUUAUCGUUGCUGUCUCUCACAACUAUCACAUUUCAUUAGCAACAAUUCAGUUCUGUUGUGAGAUACCGCAUUUGAAUACUUUUUUGUAUGUUUUCUCAAAUCUCCGUCGUUUGAGGUUGAACUUAAAAAAGAGAUCACAUUGAUCACGGUCCAGGGUGUUUCAAAGCAGCGAGUAAUCGCGAGUGUUUAAUUUUAUCUGUUGCAGUAUGCAUUGCAAGGCGUCUGUGUAAUCAAGCCUGUGAACUCGACAUCUGAAGGAAGGAUUCUGUUUCUGAUCACAUCCCUAUUGAAGUCCAUCCAUUCACUGAACAUGGAUGUGUUGACGUGCUCAAGCUUGCACUCCUUGGUAUGUAGUCGUCAAAUGAACAUGUACUCGACGUGAUGCUGUAUGUCGUUUUCAGCCGGUGUCUAGUGUCUGUAGCAGUCCUGGGGGCCCACGGGGGCCACAUUUUAGAGAGCCGUGAGUGAGGACGCAUGGCGAUCUCACUGUUAACCUUCUGCGUUACAAGAGCACCCCAGGGCCUAACUCUACAAUGAUGGAUGUAGGGUGGCGGGGGUUAAGGGGCCCCACACACACAACCCAGGAAUUCCCCUUGGGCCUUUUCAAUUACAGUUAGACCAAGCUCCGCACUGUGAUGAUAUGUUGCUUUAAGGCUGUGACAUUAAUGGAGGGGACAAAUGUGAUUUGGUGUGGUGUUGACCCUAAAGUGCAUGCGAGACACAGACAGAAGCACUCUCAUGGCACAGAGGCAACAGGAAGAAAUGCAAGGUAACCUAUUGUUGCUUUAUUUAUUUACAAUCAUCAAUAAAACCAUCCAAACAGACCAAAGUGUCAUUUAGGUCCCUCUGAAGUUAAAGAAGCAUUGAUGGGAAUAGUUUAUCAUUAGCCACAGGAUAAAAGGAGCACAAGGGGCAUGAGAGAUAGUAAUUAGCCAGUGGCGAUGCUUUGAGCAGCCCAGGUAACGGAUUUAAGAGUGGCAAAGGGAAGGACUGUCCCUUCAUCUUGUUCGUGAUCAAUGAGGCAGCCUAACCUUGUAUUGGACAUAUGCUAUGAUGUGGUAAUUUGAUGUACAAUGUGUAGGUGUGCGCGCGAGCACAUUUAACAUCAAAAACAGCUGCAGUGUUUUUGUCCCAGGAUUAGUGCAAUGUCAGUAUCUCUGCUGACUUAAACCUCUGAAGUUUGCGCUCUUCCACAGAUGACUUUCAAAAAGAACAAGGCGGAAUGACUGCAUCUAUUUCUGUCCGCAGGGAAUAAUCCUGUGUUCCAGGUUUCUGAAAGAGGCAGUGGAUCAAAAAACCAUCACCUAUGCAGAAGCAGAGUGUUUCGUAUAGUUCCUUUAUUAAAGUGGGAUAUGGCUGAGGUAAUUGGUGCUUAUCCUCAGCUCUACUCCUUUAUCUACAUUAUCUCUGCUGUUGUGCCAUCGUAUUCUUUCAGUUAUGCAAUUGACAUAAUUAUGCAAUCCACAUGCGUAACUGGGGUGUGUCUUAGAAAUGUUUAUCUGCAACAAAAAGAACAUUUUCGGUGGGAAAUGAAACUCCUUUCAGUUUGACAAAUACAAUAUUCCCACCCUGCUUUGACAGAUAUCAGGUCGGCGCCCAAACAAGGUCUGAUUUCUGAGACAAAAUUGUGUUUGAAAGAGAAGAAAGAGUGACAGUGACAUUCUUGUUAGAAUUAUAACAAUAUCUGAAACUUUUAGAGCACCAGCAUAACAAGCAGUAAAAACUAUGCAUGUACUGUGUUUGACUUAUAUUAUUACCACUUGAUCCAACACAUCAUUAACUAUGUUGUGUACAUUAACUUAAUUCAGAACCACAUCUGACGGGCCAUGAAUAACGCCAAGGAGCCUUGGAGGAAAAAAAAAAAGCCACUCCCUCUCUCCAGCUUUUUACCGUGCAGCUGUAGUUCGCCUGCACAGCGAGGCCGUCAAGCCAUUAAUGAGUCCCAGCACUGAUAAUGAAGCCACAGAGGUGGUCUGAGCCAGUGUGGCACAUGAGCUGGAGCACAGGAGGAAGGUAGAUUAGGAUAAUUACCUGGCCACGGGGGAGCGAUGAGAAAGAUGUCACAUUACCUGCAGGCAUCGAUCGACAAAGGAGCAAGUGCAAUAUAAUGAGGUGUCCUCUACAUCCCUCGCAUGUACGUAUGUAUUUAUUUGCUCUGUAUGUAUGUCUCUCACACACACUACUGUACGUAAAUCCUAAAUAUCCACACUCACAGAGACUUUGAAGAGCCUAUGAGGUCAGGUUUUAAAUUAUGGUCUGCACCCACGCCAAGCUUUCUCUCUCCACUCCUGUAAAUCCAUUUUCCAUACAAUGCAUUUCAAAUCAAAGCAGCGUCACCAUAACACGCCUUAGGAAACAUUAAGCCAUAGUGCAGUACUUUCAUGUAUGAUAUCAUAGCCCCUGUAUGCUUUGAUGUACUUUUUUUCUAAUGCUUUAUUAAUAAUAACACACUGGCUCCUUCUCACACCAACAUCAGCUUCUGGUGCUCCUUUCUCUCCUCCUGAACACAUCCCUCACUCCUUCCAUGCCUCAGUUCCUUCAUCCCUCCCCAGCCCCUGAGCCUUGUCUCAGGAUUGGCCUGUUUGUGUUUGGAAGGGGGAUUAGAGGGAAUGACAUGGGCCUCGAGAUGAAGAGAGUGACAAAGACCUAUCGGAGGGCAGAGAGUACGGAGCGCUGCAUUACCAUUGGUUGCUGUGGAAAUCAGACACGUCUUCAUUUCUUCCAGCCAUCCUCUACAAAGUGCCCAGCUUUCAUUUCCACGCCCGAGGAGGGGAGCAGCGAGUGGGGGGGGGGGUCGGGAUUAGAGUUUCUGUUUGUGCGUUUAAGUGUGUGUGCACGUAUGUUUGCUUGCAUGUUGUGUGCAGUAAACAUCUUAGAGAUACAGAGGGAUGAGCACGUAGACACUAAUAGCGCUCACCUCCUCCAAAGCUGGCCCAAAUACAAAUGCUGGAACAGUCUAGUGUUGUUCUAGCUGAAUGGGAUGCCUGAUUUACAGACAUGUAAAAACCUACUUACACAUUUCUCACUGAUUUCUCUCAUUAUUUCAGCUUUAUCCUCAGAUACUUUGCAUUAGUGCUACAGGCAAAGGCACCCAAAAGCACAUAAUGGCUGUUCAGUAUUUGCUGAUGAUUUCUUUCUGACAAUUUCAAAGCAAUGUCGUCAAUUUACUGGAUCACCUCCCCACAUUCACAUCCGUGUGCAGAUGUGCAUAAACAUCUGCUGAAUUAAUUUUCUGCUUUUGUGUUUUCUUUGUGUGUUCCUUUUUUGACGUCGAUUUCCUCUUUCUGUUGUGUAGCAUAAUUGAAUCUUGAUUUUUGUUAUUUUCUUAAUAUUUCAACACACGACUUCUGCAGCAGUUUCUUAAUAAGGCGUUUAAAUGCAAUCUGUGAUUGUGUUCCGUAAAAGAAUACAUAGAUCAACAUUCUGAAGCAAUAAUAUCUUUAAAGUUUCUUUCAAAAUGUGCUCUAUGCAGCUACAUUUCCAAAAGCUCUACGUUGACCUGCAUGUAUUUAAUUUGUCACAUGUACCAUACUGCAGCAUGUAUACACACUUGCACCAAUUAGUCAGUGUUGUGCAAUGUUUUAUACACUGAUUUGACAGCAUGCUGCAGUCAAAAUCCUUCCUAAAGUUCUCAUGUGAUGCCUGUUGAGCUUGUUGUGCGCCAGACUGUUGUCAGUAUUUGCCUGCUUGUUAGGAUGCAGCCAGUUGACUCUGGCUGUCUGAGCAGUGAUAUGACUGGGAGCAGCGGGGCUGGGCCCCAGCCGACUCCGCUCGCCUCCUCGCCCAUAAUAGAUCUGCUUGGUUUGCAGGCUCUCUGGGGGCACCUGGCUCCCCUCCCUGCCAUCUCUGGCCGGAUCGAUCGCAGAGGCCGUCCCAGCGCGGAGACCAGGGGUCAUCUUCAAAGGCCUCCUGCCCACUUCCUGCCACCUGGUGUUCCAUUUUGGACAAAGGGUACAUUUCGUCUCCGUUCCCUCCACCCUCCGUUGCACUUCUGCAAACAGGUUAAGUUAAGGACAUGGAGCCGGUACAGCCUCCACCCAGUGAUCCCCUUCAUCAUCCUCCCCAGUCGCCCACACGGUGCGAGAGAGGGUGAGAGAUCAGUCCCAUUCAAACAGCACGCAAGCACUCACCCAUUUGAUGUGAAAAUCUGCUUUUCAGUUAAUUACGGCGUAAGAAUCUCUACAUGGAAGUGAUUUGGUCAUUUUUGGUUACCUUUACCUUUGGUAACAUUCUCAAUUUAAUGAACUGGCACUUAAAUUCUCUAAUCUAGAUUUUAUUUCAUAAGGAUAGACCAACCAUCAAAUAUUCUAAAUUCAGUGAGAAAAUAACCACAUCAACACAGAGCAUUAUUCAUUUAUAGGAUAUAUUUUAUUCAGAUAUUGUUCAUUGCAUGAUACAGUAUAAUACAAAAGUUAAUGAGGUAAUUGUUUGUAAUGAUGCAUUUACUUUUUGGCUCUCACUUGAAACAUAUUUCAUUAUUAACUGAUCAACAGAUCUGCUAUGGUAUGAAUAUCUCCAUCUCUCCUUCCCUGUUGGUCAAGUAACAAAUGGCAGGGCUAUCGAACACACAUUUCAUCUCCAUGAGGGCUGUCGGACAAUUAGCUCCAGGAAUACAUAUUAAUCGAGAUUUUUUUUUUUUUGAAUCCGUUUAUUAAGCCCAGCCAUUUUUUUUCCCUCCAAUACAUUAGCAGAUCUCAGUAUGUCCGCUACUCUUGUGAACAGGGAUGAGAAGGAGAUAGAGGGAGAGGAAAUAAAGGUCUGAUGAGUUUGGCAAAGAGAGGAUGGAGGCUGAGACAGAUGGCAUGAAGUCUGCAGCACUCUGGCGUGGCUCGCCUGGUGCUAAAAUCCUCCUCUCUCACAUUCCAACAAAUCCUACCAGGAGGCUGGGGAGUCUGUCACACCACUCCAAGGAUCCACACGGCUCUCUUCAACCCCCCCUCCCCUCUCCUCCCCCUCCUCCGCCGCCCCGGCCCAACUGAGCCUCUGACCGCUCUGCAUCCUAUUUUAUCCUCACAUAUGUGUACAUUCACACAUGAACAUGUAUAGAGGUCGACCAUUACAGGACUGGUACGAUAAGAGGCACCGGGGGGGGGGCCCAGAAAGAAACGCCGUCAGACUGCUCUUACGGAGAAGGAACCAAGGGGGCUUAAUUGAGAGAGGUGGCCUUUACUGUCACUCCAGUGUAAGAAAUGUUAUUCAGUAAACACUGGGCCAAAUCAUGGAGGACCGUACAAUCCAUUUAUAUCAGAGGAAGAAGACAUAAGAAGCUUUCUGAUUAGUUUCACCACAGCCCACAUCAGCCCAUGGUCUUGAACAGAAACACUGUAGCCCAAUCUCAAUCCAAACAUGCACUGCUCAGAACCAUGUUUCAAGGCUCCCUGUGGGCCUUACAACCCAAAAUGGACAGUAAGUGUGACUGUGAUUACACAUAGCACAAGACCAACAACUGGAUCACGGUCUCCACAUGACGGCUCCAUCUCCAAGCACUGUACAAUUAGAAACCCUUUGAAUUUCUGAAGCAUGCUUUCUGUUACCAUCUUAAAGUGGUUCAUCUAAUAAGCACAAUCUAAUUUAUUUUACACUAUGCUCUCUCCCCAUGUCUCUUUCUCGCUGUCUUUCUGCCUGCCUUCUGUUUGUUCUAAUGAAUGACUUCUGAGAUGAGAUGCUGCUGUGAGGAGGUCACGGGGGGCUUUAGAAUCACAUUACCGUUAAUGAUAAUAAAAAGAACAAUCGGUGCUAAACCUCUUGGAUGUCUUCGCCUCUCUCCCCAUAUGGAGUGUGUGUUUUAUCUGCUAUUGUUUUGAGUAUCUUUACAUGUUGUAAUUGAAGUCUUUGCAAUUAAAAUGCACAGUAAAUAUUGUUUGUGUUGUUUUUUUUGUGCAGGCAUUGUUUAUUGACAAAAAAAGGGCAGAUAAAAGGUAUACAGCGGUGCGCCAUCUGGGUUGUAAAGCUGCAUGAGAAAACAUUCCCUACGGUAACAUUUUAAGUGCAAAAGUAAUGCAAACAACUUCCAACAUUUGGAGUCGGGCUUUAUUUGAUCAAUUCUUUAAUGACGAAACAGAACAGUCAUUUUCAGCUUUUGAAAACUAUUGUAAUAUCUAGGUGUAAUCACCUCUAUUCAACUUAUGUUGAAGCAAGUAAGUGAAAUCUGUUUUGACGAUAUGAAGCAUGCAUUUACUGGAUGAAAACUGUCCUUAUGUUUACACCAACCCUAAUAUGCACUGCAUCUUACAUCUGGAUAUAAGGGCAAUAAAAACUAGCAGCUCUGGAGGACUAAGUUUCAUCUUGCAAUGCAAGUUGUCAACACUGGUGCAGGCCUUCAUAUCAACAUCUACUCAACACCAAAGUGUUUGCUGGGGUUGUUUACAUGGAUCUGACAUUCACAAGCAGAUCAUCAGUGACUUUCCCUCCCACCACCACAGAG